UACGUAGGGGGCAAGCGUUGUCCGGAAUCAUUGGGCGUAAAGAGCGUGUAGGCGGCCCGGUAAGUCCGCUGUGAAAACUCGAGGCUCAACCUCGAGAUGUCGGCGGAAACCGUCUGGCUAGAGUCCGGAAGAGGAGAGUGGAAUUCCUGGUGUAGCGGUGAAAUGCGCAGAUAUCAGGAAGAACACCUAUGGCGAAGGCAGCUCUCUGGGACGGUACUGACGCUGAGACGCGAAAGCGUGGGGAGCGAACAGG
rnacentral:rRNA from 1 species